rnacentral:rRNA from 1 species
ACGGGGUGCAGCAGGCGCGAACACUUUACAAUGCGGGAAACCGCGAUAAGGGAACCCCGAGUGCCAGCAUCAAAUGUUGGCUGUCCAGAUGAUUAAAAAUCAUUUGUUAGCAAGGGCCGGGCAAGACCGGUGCCAGCCGCCGCGGUAACACCGGCGGCCCGAGUGGUAGCCGUUUUUAUUGGGUCUAAAGGGUCCGUAGCCGGCCUGAUAAGUCCUUUGGGAAAUCUGGCAGCUUAACUGUCAGGCUUCUAAGGGAUACUGUCAGGCUUGGGACCGGAAGAGGUAAGGGGUACUCCAGGGGUAGGAGUGAAAUCUUGUAAUCCCUGGGGGACCAUCUGUGGCGAAGGCGCCUUACCAGAACGGGUCCGACGGUGAGGGACGAAAGCUAGGGGAGCAAACCGGAUUAGAUACCCGGGUAGUCCUAGCUGUAAACGAUGCUCGCUAGGUGUCAGACACGGUGCGACCGUGUUUGGUGCCGCAGGGAAGCCGUUAAGCGAGCCACCUGGAAGUACGUCGCAAGGCU